CAAAUAGCUCAGUUGGUAGAGCGGAGGACUGAAAAUCCUUAUGUCGCCGGUUCGAUUCCUGCUUUGGGC
rnacentral:tRNA from 1 species